rnacentral:rRNA from 1 species
GGACUCAUCAGAGGCCUCGCAAUUGGAAUGAGCGCACUUUAAAUCGUUCGACGAGGAUCUAUUGGAGGGCAAGUCUGGUGCCAGCAGCCGCGGUAAUUCCAGCUCCAAUAGCGUAUAUUAAAGUUGUUGCAGUUAAAAAGCUCGUAGUUGGAUCUGGGGUUCGGGUCGGCGGUUUGCCGCUUCGGCGGCUACUGCCGUGCUCGACUCUUACUAGCCGGUGCGUCUUGCGGUGCUCUUCAUCGAGUGCCGUAGGAGCCUGGCAUGUUUACUUUGAAAUAAUUAGAGUGCUCAAAGCAGGCGAUUCCGCCUGAAUAGUGUUGCAUGGAAUAAUGGAAUAGGACCUCGGUUCUACUUUGUUGGUUUUCGGAACUUGAGGUAAUGAUUAAGAGGGACGGUCGGGGGCAUUCGUAUUUCGGUGUUAGAUGUGAAAUUCUUGGAUCGCUGAAAGACGGACAAAUGCGAAAGCAUCUGCCAAGAACGUCUCCAUUAAUCAAGAACGAAAGUCAGAGGUUCGAAGACGAUCAGACACCGUCCUAGUUCUGACCAUAAACGAUGCCAACUAGCGAUCCGCAGUGGUUGCUAUAAACGGACUCUGCGAGCAGCUUCCGGGAAACCAAAGUGUUUGGGUUCCGGGGGAAGUAUGGUUGCAAAGCUGAAACUUAAAGGAAUUGACGGAAGGGCACCACCAGGAGUGGAGCCUGCGGCUUAAUUUGACGCAACACGGGGAAACUCACCCGGUCCGGACACUGUAAGGAUUGACAGAUCGAGAGCUCUUUCUUGAUUCGGUGGAUGGUGGUGCAUGGCCGUUCUUAGUUGGUGGAGUGAUUUGUCUGGUUAAUUCCGAUAACGAACGAGACUCUAGCCUGCUAACUAGUUGCGCCGUGUUCAUACGCGGCUGUAGACUUCUUAGAGGGACAGGUGGCGUUUAGCCACACGAAAUUGAGCAAUAACAGGUCUGUGAUGCCCUUAGAUGUCCGGGGCCGCACGCGCGCUACACUGAAGGAGUCAGCGUGUGCUAUCCGGGCUCGGAAGAGUUCGGUAACCCGUUGAAACUCCUCCGUGCUUGGGAUUGUGGCUUGUAAUUAUCGCGCAUGAACGAGGAAUUCCCAGUAAGUGCAAGUCAUCAGCUUGCGCUGACUACGUCCCUGCCCUUUGUACACACCGCCCGUCGCUACUACCGAUUGAAUGGUUUAGCAAGGUACUCGGAUUGGUCUCGAUCUUGUACGAAAGUGCGGGAUCUUUGGCCGAGAAGAAGGCCAAACUUGAUCAUUUAGA